ACCCUAAAAACAAAAUAAAAUAAAAAUUUUUGUGGAAGCUCAUGUGUGUCCAAAAAAAAUUGAUAUUGUAAAAAAAAUUAAUUUAUCAAAUUUUUUGGACAUUAACAAAAAAUUAAUUUAUUAACUCCUCAGCAGAGUGAUCUACAAAAAUUAAUAUAUGUUCUUUUUGUUUCUAUUUUAUUUUUAGAUUAAAUUAGUAAUUUAAUUUUUUCUUUUUAUUAAUAUUCAAAAAAAAUAAACAUUAUUGUAAGAGGGUAAUAUUAUAAAAGCAAGCCAAAAGGGAUAAAAAAAAAUGACGGCAAGAGUGUUAACAAUUUAACGGUGGAGAUUUUUUUAGAUACUUUAAAAAGUAUAAGGACUAAAUGGACACUAAUCCAUAAUAUCGAAAGUAAUCGAGUUUUUAUUAUCUAGAAGGAGAUGUCUUAAUGCAAGAGAGAGGAUCAUAUAUCAAACAAAGUAGGGUGGAUUUAAGACUUUUUAUUACUCCAGAGUAAUUUAUAAAUUUAUGAUAAAUAUGGAGAACACGGACCAGAGUUGUAGCCAUCAUCAACUUCUUUUUCUAAAGCUUCAAGUUGACUUUGAUGAUUUGACUGCAUAGACUUGUAAAGGGGUAUUUGGCUGGCAAGUUCUCCAUUUAUAUUGUUUAAAGGGACGACCGUUCCUCAAGCUUUAGGUUUUUUAUGUGGAGCUUUGAUGAUCUCUCCACUGCAAUCUCUACUCUCUUCUUUAAUGCACAUCCGGAAUGCACCAAACUGAAAGGCAUUUACCAGGUCGCCAAGUGUAUGACCCUCCAAAUCCUGGAGCUCCUUCUUUUUCACUAAUUUGGUGUAUUUAUUAUCACAUGGGACCAGAAAAUCUGCUCACUUAUAUGCAUGCUGAGACUUUGAUUCAGCAAGUAGAGGAGAGGAAAUGGGACUCUUAUUAGCAGUCAUCCCACUUGCUCCAAUUAGAAUUUGAUCAACUGAUUUAGAGUGUUUGUUUACAGAGAAAAUCUGAGUGAAAAUGAGAGAAAAUUUAGCUGAGAAAAUUCAUUUUUAUUCAACUUAAUAACAUAAUGGGAUUACAAGCUUAUAUACUGCUUUUCAGAAUCUUCUCAACACAUACAUUAUUUUCACGUGUAUUUCAUCUUUCAGAAAAGCUGAAUAACAAACUUAACAAGCUAACAACUACUUUGCUGACUGGACUGCCACAUCACCAUAACUGACUUAACUAAUUCAAACAGUUAACACAUAUUCUUAUCAUCCCCCCUCAAGCUUAAGUUCGGGGGAGAACAUUAAGCUUGGUACAAAGAUAAGCAAACUGAUCAAAAGAGAGGGGCUUGGUGAGGAUGUCUGCAAGUUGUUCUGAACUGGAAACAUGACUGACAGUGAGUUGUUUCUGUGCAAUAUGCUCUCGAAUAAAAUGAAGAUCCAACUCAAUGUGCUUUGUACGAGAGUGAUACUUUGGAUUGCUAGUUAAUGCCUCAGCACUCUGAUUAUCACAAUACAAAACAGGACUUUGAGUUGGCUGAAUUCUCAGUUCUUGAAGCAAAUAAGUAAGCCAAAGAAUUUCAGAGGUUGCCGAAGCAAGAGCUCGAUAUUCAGACUCUGCUGAGGAACGAGAAACAAUAGUUUGUUUCUUAGAAGACCAAGAAAUAAUGUUGUUUCCUAAGAAUACACAAUACCCUCCAGUAGACUUUUGAUCAUCUGGAUCAGCUGCCCAAUCAACAUCAGAAAAUGCUGUUAAAGUCACAGAGCCUUAAUUGAAGAAUUGAAUCCCAAAGUGUGAAGUAGCUUGUAGAUAUCGAAGAACUCUUUUACAAGCUUGCCAGUGUGCAAUGGUUGGAUGAGCUAGGAACUGACUGAGUUUAUUUACAGGAUAAGCUAUGUCAAGUCUUGUUAGCAACACAUAUUGAAGAGAGCCCACAAUACUUCUGUACAAUGAGGGAUUAUCAAAAGCUGCACCACUGUCCUUUUUAAGCUUUAUCACCUAGACUUAUCGGAGUGUUAAAACCUUUGUUGUCAAGCAUAUUUGCUUUUCUAAGGAUAUCACCAAUGUAUUUGGUCUGAGAUAAAUGCAGUCCAUGAACAAAGGGUGUCACUUCAAUACCAAGAAAGUAGUUAAACUCUCCCAGAUCUUUGAAUGCAAAUUCUGAAUGAAGAUAUUGAAUGACAGCCGCAAUAUGUUGAGAAUUAGAACCAGUAACUAAAAUGUCAUCAACAUAUAUAAGAAUGAGCACAAUAUCAUGGCCAAUAUGUUAAAUAAACAUAGAUGUAUCAGAUUUUGAAGAUUGAAACCCUUUAUUAAGUAAAAAACCUUUCAACGUCUCAUACCAAGCUCUAGGAGCUUGUUUGAGACCAUAUAAGGCUUUGUUUAAUUUGCAAACAUAAAAUGGAUGUGCAGAGUCUAUAAAACCUUAUGGCUGAUGCAUGAACACAUCUUCUUCAAGCAUACCAUUUAGAAACGCAUUAUUAACAUCCAACUGUCUAAUCUGCCAAUGAUGCAUCACUGCUAGACUUAGUACAACUCUGACUAUGCAAGGUUUCACAACUGGGCUGAAGGUCUCAAAGAAAUCCACCCCUUGAGUUUGAUGGUAACCCUUGGCAACCAACCUAGCUUUGUACUUGGAAAUGCUGCCAUCAGGGUUAUACUUCACCCUAUAUACCCACUUAUUGCCAACUAUUUUAACAGCACUCUCAGAGGGUACUAAAGUCCAGGUUUGGUUUCUUUGCAGAGCAUCAAAUUCCUCAUUCAUAGCAUGAAACCACUUGGGAUCAUGCAAGGCACUUUUUACACUGGUUGGCUCAAGAUUUUCAGUAGCUGCUAGAUAUGAUUUGGGUUUGAAAAUACCAGCUUUAGCUCUAGUAAUCAUUGGGUGAGAUGGUAAUGAAGAUGAAUGAGUUGGUUCAGCUGAAGGAUGAGAAGAAAAAGAAGAAGAAGUCUGUGCUGAACUAGAACUUGAUGGAGGAGACAUUGCUGGAUGAAAAUUAGGAGAUGAUGACUCUACAUUGCUACUGUCAACCUGAGCAGAACUUUGAAGGAAAGAGAAUUAUACUGGUGAAGAUAAGACAUCAGCAUUUGAGACUUUUGAGGUAGAGUGUUUGAGAAACAAUUCUUUGUAAGGAAAAUCAGUUUCAUUGAAGACAACAUGCCGAGCAAAAAACACUUUACCAGAGGAAUUUAAACACUUAUAACCCUUAUGAAGUGGAUUGUAACCAAUGAAAAUGCAUUUUUGAGUAUAAAAGUCAAGUUUAUACUGGUUAUAAGGUCUGAGGAAUGGAAAACAGGAGCAACCAAAAACUUUGGGAAACUGAUAGUCAGGUAGUUGAUUGUGUAAUUUCUGAAAUGGAGAUAGAUUGUUUAGAACUGAUGUGGGCAUCCUGUUGAUGAGGAAAUAGGUAGUAUGAAAGGCUUCCCACCAAAAAGAAAAAGGUAAUUGUGAUUGGGCUAGAAGUGUUAAACCUGUUUCAACAAUGUGCCUGUGUUUCCUCUCAACAACACCAUUUUGAUAGUGUGUGUAUGGACAACUAUACCUAAAACAUAUACCCUCUUGCUGAAGAAAGAUUUUAAAGGCUAUAAACUCACCCCCCAUAUCUGACUGCAGUGUUUUGAUAGACAAAAAAAAUUAUUUUUCAACAAGAAGUUUGAAGUGUUUGAAGGUUUUUAAGGCUUCUGACUUUGCUGUGAGAGGAAAAAUCCAAGAAUAUCGUGUGAAAUCAUCCACAAAGGAGAUAUAAUAUCUGUAUCCAUGCAUUGAAUAUUCAGGAGCUGGUCCCCAUAAAUCUGUAUAUAGAAGCUCAAGUGGUGCUUUUGUUUUAAUGGUAGUAACAGAAAAAUGAAGUUGUUGCAUUUUGCCAUAUUGACAAGCAUCACAGAAAUUAAUGAAUUGGUUUGAAAAACAAUGUGUGGGAAGGCUUUUAAUAAUUGUUUGCAAAGCAUGUUUAUUGGGAUGACCAUAUCUAUUAUGUAACAACUGAACUGAUAUCUUUCCAGUUCUAGAAGAAUUUCCAGAAACAGAACAUGCAAAAGUUUCAGGAGUAUUUACAUUGUUCAACUUUGACACAUGAUUAUUUGACAACAUGGAACUGUGAUAGUAGCUUGUAAAGACCACCUUCAACAAUCCCAUGUGCCAGCAAAGUUCCCUCAUUCUUGUCCUUAAUAAAGCACAUGGUGGAACAAAAUUCAAUGAUUAUGUUAUUAUCCAAAAGAAGUUUAGAUAUACUGAUGAGGUUUUUGGUUAUUUUAGGAACACACAAAGUAUUGGUUAAGGAUAAACAUGUACCAAAAGAAGUAGAAAGAUAAGUGCAGCCAAUAUGUGUGAUAUUGAGACCUUGACCAUUUCCAACAAACAACAGUUGAGUGCCAUUAUAAGGAUUACCUUCAACCAGAUUUUGCACAUUGUUGGUGAGGUGAUGAAUGGCUCCACUGUCCAGAUACCACCCCUGAUCAGCGGCUCCUUCUGAGGUAGCCAUAUAAGUUGUUCUUGGCCCUUGAUUCUGCAUUGGAGAAUUUGGAAAAAAAUUUCUAUUCUACAAUCAGCAGCUGAAUGGUAUGGUUUAAAACAUAUUUGGCAGGUAAUGUUCCCCCUGCCACCUCUUCUAUCAAAACCACUAGAGGAUCCUGGAUUUCCACUAUUAAAACCACCAUUUCCAAUAAAUCCACCAGUAUUUCCAUUAAAACCACCAGAGUUUGAACCUCUUUCUUGAUUUCUAAACCAGCCUCUCCCUGAAUUUUGAUCUAUAAAACCACCUCUGCCAGAUCCAUAACCUCAUUUGUUGUUGAAAUUACCAUUUCCAUUUUUAUUCACAAAAUUUCCAUUCCAAUUGCCCUGGUUAUUAGUAUUCCAAUUAGCAUUGUUUCCUGACUUCUUAUGAUUAUUACCAGUCUGAGCCACAUUAGCACUAAAAUUCAACUUAGUUUCCUUAGCUACACCAGAAUGAUCACUCUCAAGCCUAGCUUCAUGAGAUAGCAGCAUAGAAUAAGCCUCAUUGAUGCUCAUUUUAAGAGCAUUUGCCUUAAUAUAAACCACAACAGGAUAGUACGAUUGUCCUAGACUUGAGAUCAAAUGUGUAAUGAAGUCAAGUGAACUAACUGGACUUCCAGCCAUUACCAAUUCAUCAGUUACUGACCUCUCAGUUUAUAAAAAUAUUCAGUAAUUGACAUGGAUCCUUUCUUAAGGUUAUUUAACAACAUCUUUAAAUGCACUUUCUUAGCUGUUGGUUCAAAUCCAAACUGUUCCUCUAGACUUAUCCAAAGUUCUCAAGAGGUUUUAGAAUUUACCACAAUGCUUAAGAUCUCCACACUGAUUGAAGAUAGGAGCCAGCUCAAGAUCAUCUGAUCUUGCCUUUUCCAAGUAGUGUAAGCAGGAUUUUCUGAGAUAACUGCCGCAGCGGUGCUUGUUGAUUCACCAGUCAGCAGCUGGUUUGGACAAGUACGCGAUCCAUCAAGAAAGCCUUUCAGAUCAUUUGCUCGAAUGGCUAAAAGGAUCUGAGAUUUUCAUAUAGUAUAAUUCUAUCUGUCAAGCUUGAUUGGUGUGGUGAAAGUAAAUGUUGAGAUUGCGGAAGAAACAUUUGUACUAAGACUUGAAGAAGCCAUGGUCAAGAAGUGAUUCAAGGCUCUGAUACCAAAUUAGAAUUUGAUCAACUGAUUUAGAGUGUUUGUUUACAGAGAAAAUCUGAGUGAAAAUGAGAGAAAAUUUAGCUGAGAAAAUUCAUUUUUAUUCAACUCAAUAACAUAAUGAGAUUACAAGCUUAUAUACUGCUUUCCAGAAUCUUCUCAACACAUACAUUAUUUUCACGUGUAUUUCAUCUUUCAGAGAAACUGAAUAACAAACUUAACAAGCUAACAACUACUUUGCUGACUGGACUGCCACGUCGCCAUAACUGACUUAACUAAUCCAAACAGUUAACACAUAUUCUUAUCAGCUCUAAUUUUAAAAAGAGAGGAGGAGUGUUUUCAAAUGAGAAAUAUACUGAGAAACUUCGAUUUUCUCUGGAGUGAUACCUUCGUUCGAACUUGCAAAAGCACCACCGAAACGAGGUCACUUCUUGUUCAUGGCUCCUAUACUCUAUUCCUCCAUGUCUAUUACCACUGAUACCAAGUGCAAGCGAGAUGACCAGCCUAGUGGCAAAGAAUAGAUCUUUGCAUGAGCAUUGAUUAGACAAGGCAACCUCAACUCUCUACAGUUGUUUGUUCUUGAUUUUAUAAACCACACUCCAAGAAUAUGUAAUACAAAAUGAGAUUGGUGAGAAAAAAACUGCUCAAAUAAUCGAGCAGCAAAAGGGUACCAUUAGCUACUCAACAAACUGGAGAAGAAAAAUGAGAAGGGACAUGAAUAUUCCUGCCAUUUUGUAGGUGCCACUGGCCCCAGUUACCCUAAACAAAGAAGAACUUAUUUUUUCAAUUGUCAUCUGAAGCGAGAUAUCCAAAAGGGGUUUCUUCUUCUUAGUGCUUCUUAUAAAAUAGUACCAUUCUGCAUAUUACAGAGUAUUCACUUUGCCCGCAUUUUCAUUCAUUCAGAUUCAAUUAACUAGGAGCUAAGUUCAUCUUGUCCAGCACUCAAACAAAAUAAGACUAUAAAAGAAGUCUAACUCCCAUCCUAAAGCAUUUCAAAUAUAGGGUAACAUAUCCUUUAGGGGACGACUAGGUAUGUCCUUAAGGCCAAGCGCCCUGUCACCAGGUAUCCUAUAGACUCUAUUAAGCUUAUCUAAGUCACUUUUUGUAGUGUUACACUUCAUCUUAUUGAUAAGAUAAGACUUAGCUAGAGACCUCUUGCCUACCUUUUUCUUUUUGGCUGUUGGAAUGUCAUCCAAGUUUUGUUUCUUCCUUGUUAUCUUCCUCAUUAGCACUACGUCCUUGAUUUUCACUAAGAGUUCAAUUAGAACUUAAAUCUUUUUUAUCAUUCUGCUAUUUAUUCUAUUUUCCUCAGAUGAAGAAGACGAUUUAGGAGACAUUCUUCUUGCAUUAUCCCUAACACUAGUAUCAUUUAUAUUCUCUAAAGAAAUAUUAGUGUUGAAAGCAGGUUAUUUAAGUAUGUUGGGCAAUAAACUUAGUUCAUCAUCAUCAGUAGUCUCAAUUACUUUCUUUUUGCGUUUUGACAUUUUUUCUGAAAUAAACCUAAGGCUAGAGUCUAAAGAGCCUAAAAUAAGUAACACCCACCAAGAACCCAACAAAUCCAAGCAAAAAUAAUAAACAAUGGUCAGUUCAAGGAGUAGUACAUGGGAUGUGCUAGAAUAGAUAGUGAGGUGAUGGCAAUGAGCAGGACUCACUCUUCGGAGCACGAAUCUUUACUUUUAGGGAAGACAAGGGAAAAAUUAAAAGAGUAGAAGAGGUUGGAUUAGGAUUAGGAUUAAGGAUUUAAAUAAUUAGGAAAAUGGUGAGAGGAAAAGCAGUUCCGGUAACUAGCGCAUUACUUGAAAGGACGCAUCUUGAGAAUGCCAAAAUUGUUGUUUUAAUACCACAUCACUCAUAUUUAGGUAAAAUGAUUAGUCAGAUAAACACAACUCGAUUAAAUAAAUGCACUUUUAAAUAGAGUGGUCUCCAAAACCUAGUAUCUGCUAGGUCGAGUGUCAUAAGGACCAACCUAGUCACCAUGAUUAGUGCUUGGGGAAUAUAAAGAAAGUCACUUAGAAUAAAGAGAAGGUUAUCUAGUGGCGUGUACAAAAGCGACCAAUGUACUGCGAGGAGACUAGAAUCAAGUUACAUGGUUUUGGUUUAUAACUUAGGUCAAAGAGCUUUACUCAUGAAAGUUCACCCGUAAUGUCUAGGCACGUUCUACUAUAAUGUUUAAAGCAUGAUCAGGCGUUACAACGGAAACUCAAUAACUACGCAAACGGACACAUUAACUCUUACAUUUAGGUGACGCAAUCAAUUUGAUAAUGGCCGCGCAUUGAAAAACAACUGAUACUUGUGGUUGUCUUUAAGAAUCGAAAAGGAUUCUGAAAAGAGUGUCUUUUUUCAGCUAAGAAAAUAUUAGAUUACAGAGAAAAUACUUAAGUCACAAGUGUGCAAGAUUACUAUUUUUUUAAAGGAAAAACCCAAUAACUGACUUGGGCGUCAGAGGGUUUUUACCAGAAAAAAUCUGGCGCUCCUGACAGUUUUCUAUUGUUACGGAUCAAAAGAACAAUCAAUACAACUCAAAUCUCCUACAGCAGUAAGAGAUAGUGUCCCAUCAAAAGAAAAUUAAGGCAUUGAUGAGACAAUCUGGUCGUCAUCAUCAGCUCGACCAGAUUUCAGCAUCAAUAUUUUGGCGCCGUCUGUGGAGAACGAGGCAAAAAGCUGCAUUAUACCGAAUAAACCGAUAACUAGAAUGGGAAAAUGAGUUCAUGAGAAAGUGGAGAAAUGACAAGUGAAGCAAGGGAGAGAAUGAUGUACAAGCGGUUAGAGCGAAUGGAGAAGCAGAUGGAAACUCUCACUGUUGUGCUUCAAGAGUUAAGAGAAUGGGAAAGGGGAGUUGGAUCUCGGGUGGAAAACCCUGGUGUCUUUGGCCUGGAGAAUGGAGCAGCCCAAGGUGAUCAGAAUUAUAGUGAGGGAAUUCAAUUCUGCAAUGGUCAAAAUGUUUGAGUGGAAGAUCAGCCAGGAGCGAACCAGGGCCAGAUAAAUCCAGAAAAAGGAAUAAAUGCGCAAGAAAGGGAAUUGAGGCAGCACAUAAACAUUGUUGUACGAGAGCGAGAUCAAGCGGCAGUACAAAACCCAGAUCAUGACAUGGAACUAGAGGGAGAGGUGCGUCGAUUAGCUCAGGUAAUAGAUGAGCUCCAAGGAUGGUGGAAGGUACCAAGCUGGAGGAUUAUGUUGGACAAUGAAUCACCUCUCUAAGAGGAGAUCAUGGGUACAGUAAUUCCACGGAAUUUUCGUUUCUCUAACCUCAAAUAUUCAGAGAGGAGUGACCCAUUAGUCCAUAUUGAAUGUUUUAGUGAUAUGACGGGGUGCAAGGCUUAACGCAGGCCCAGAGGUAUAAGGUAUUUAUGUUGACUUUGGAUGGACGCGCGCCGGAGUGUUAUCGAAAAUUGCCACGAUGAAGUAUCAAAAGUUUCGACCAGAUGCGCAGAGAGUUUGUAGAGCAACUUUGCGAGGUAGUAGUUGUAGAAGAUGAUAUGAUAAGGUUGUUAGGAAUCAGACAGAGAGAAAAAGAGACCCUUAGAGAGUUCCUAAACAGGUAUCACCGAGUAGUUCUUGACCUUGGAGCCUUUAACCACCCGUAAGCUUUGAAAGAGUUAAAGGAAGGGGUAAAGAUAGGGCGUCUCUGGUAUAAUUUAAGGAAUCCAGUCAUACAAUCAUACUCCACUGCUUAUGAGCAGGUGAAGAGAGAUGCUGACAUCGAGGAAGAAAAAGCAGCAAGAUUGAAGGCUGGGCAGCUUGAGGGGUUGAAAAAAAAAGAGAAUAAAGUUCAAAUAGCAAGCGGGCCCAUUCGAAACGAUAAAUCAUCCUCAAGUGGAGGAUCGAGCAGCUGGACAUUCCCAUACCAACCCCAUCCGAGGCAGCAUCAGUUCCAGCAUAGUAGGAUUCCACCUCCUCGUUCCCCCGGUCGCGAUCAAUGGAGGGAACUUAACCAACAGCAUAAACAGCCUCAAUACAACGCUUCGAUAGCUCAUUACCCACCAGAUGCGAGAGUUAACAGAUCAGCUACUUCAUCAUCCAAUCAUGCACACAGAGGGUUCCCUAGGGAUAGGACAAUGCAAAUGAUUGAUCAAAGCCCGAUGUAUCAGCAAUUCACUCCGUUGAAAGUCCCUUUGGAGGAGCUAUAUCAUAUGAUUAAAUAUCGUGGCUUAUUAUAUCCCUUGAUCCCAAUAGCAAAUGCACCCAACAAACGAGACAUGAGCAGAUUCUGUAAGUUUUACAGCACCCAUGGUCACACAACAGCUCAGUGCUGGGACCUUAAAAACUAAGUGGAGGACUUGGUGAGAAAUCGAUACUUGGAUAAUUUUAUUGAGGGAUCCCAUCCAGUGGCUAACCUGUAACAUGGAUUAGAGGAAAAUGCAGGGGGCGUCAGACAGAGCAGCCAGUAGGUAGGGUUAUUGUUGGAGGACCAAAUUUGGUUGGGGAUUCAAACAGGUCCAGGAAGAAUUACUCAAGGUAUGCAAUGACCAGUAGGGAUGUCUUGUACAAUGUACUAACUGCAAAGCGAGCAAAGACCAAGUAGAUGCCCAUCAUGUGGACUGAUGAUGAUGAGGAGGCGGUAUUGUACCCGCAUGAAGAUGCACGGUGAUUGGUGUUGUUGUAGCAAGCAAAAGCUUCAUCGGAUACUCGUGGAUACCUGGAGUUCGGUAGAUGUCUUAUUUAAGUCGACCAUGGAUGAAAUAGGGAUUAUAGGUUUGAAGUUAGAGAACACAAGUACAUCCCUGAAGGGGUUCGAUGGAGGAAAACUGACUCCACUUGGUAUUGUCGAGUUGCCUAUCACAAUAAGCACUAGUCCGCUCCAAAAAACCAUGAUAUUGGAUUUUAUGGUGAUUGGUAAAAAUAGCUCAUAUCAAAUAAUCUUGGGCAGACCUUUUUUUAGGAUCAGUAAGGCGGUAGUAUCCAACCAUUAUCUAGCUUUGAAGUACUGGGUCAAUGUCGUUGUGGGAGUUGUUAAGGGAGACUAAAAAAUUAUGCGGAGUUGCUAUGCAACAGCAACUAAAGAAACGAUGUACAUCACUUCGUUGGAUACUCGAGGAUAUGGUAAAAAGGGACAGGAGCUAGUUGAGGAAGUUGAAACAGUGAUCAUUAGGCAAGAGGAGCCACAAAAGACUGUCAAGAUUGGGUCGAAAAUCAAAGAGGGUUUAAAGGAAAGGUUAGUGAGCAGUUUGCGAGCGUAUGCAGAUGUGUUCACUUGGUUGCACGAUGACACGCUUGGAAUAGAUCCUGCGAUUGCCUACCAUAAGUUAGCUAUAAGGAAAGAUGUUUGACCAGGGAAGCAGAAUAACAGAUGCUUUAAUCAUGAGAGGUACGACCCCAUUAGCGCUGAAGUCGAGAAGCUGCUACGAGCAAGCUUUAUAAGGGAAGUUAAAUACCCUGAGUGGGUUUCCAAUGUGGUUCUGGUGAAGAAGUCCAAUGAAAAAUGGCAGAUGUGCAUAGAUUUUACAGAUCUCAACAAGGCGUGUCCAAAGAAUAGUUUCCCAUUACUGAAAUUGAUCAACUAGUUAAUUCAACAACGGGCCAUGGCUUGCUCAGUUAUAUGGAUGCCUUCUCAGGUUGUAAUCAAAUACCAAUGUUUGAGUAGGACGAGGAGCAUACUGCAUUCAUUACCAACGUGGGUUUAUACUGCUACAAAGUGAUGCCAUUUGGUCUUAAGAACACAGGUACAACGUACCAGAGGUUGGUCAACAAAAUUUUCAAACCGCUGAUUAGGAAAACAAUUGAGGUUUAUGUGGACAAUAUGAUUACAAAAUCCAAAGAUCCAGCCGAGCAUAUGAUGCAUCUGAAGGAGACCUUCGAGUUGCUUUGAAAGUACAAAAUGAAACUUAAUCCAGAAAUGUGCAUGUUUGGAGUAUCAUUGGGGAAGUUUUUGGGGUUCCUGGUAAGCCAUAUGGGAAUUGAAGCUAACCCUGAAAAGAUACGAGCAGUCAUCGAGAUGAAGUCCCCCCGCACGCUCAAAGAUAUACAAAGUCUCACAAGAAAGUUGGCUGCUUUAAACUUAUUUAUAUCGCGAGCAACUGAAAAAUACCAUGUCUUUUUCAAAAUGAUGAGAAAUGGGAGAAAGAGGAAAUGGACGGCAGAAUGUAAGCAUGCAUUUUAGCAGUUGAAGUAGUAUUUAGUCAAUGCUCCAUUGUCAUCGACGCCUCGAGAAUGAGAUAAACUGUACUUAUACUUAGCCAUAUCUCAAUGGGCAACGAGUACAGUUAUAGUAAGGGAAUAGGCGGGGAUUCAAUACCUUGUAUACUACACCAGCAGGGCACUGCUUGAUCCAGAGACAAGAUACCCGAAGAUGGAAAAGUAGGUGUUAGUGUUGGUCAUGGCUGCUCAGAAACUAACGUCGUACUUCCAAGCAUAUCCAAUAAUUGUGAUGACUUACUAGCCACUUAGACAGGUGCUGCAUAACCUUAAGCUUCUGGACGAUUGGUUAAAUGGUCGGUGGGGCUGAGUGAGUUUGACAUCAGCUAUCUACCAGAACAUCAAUCAAGGCUCAAGCCUUAGUAGAUUUCGUGUUCGAAUGUACUGAAGCAAACUAAGAUUCAGGUGGUGGUAAUGGAGCAAAUAAGGAAGAUGUUAACGAAAUUUGGACAGUGAUAGUGGAUAGUUCCAGCGUGGAACAAGGAGCAAGUGCAGGUGUAAUUUUGACUAGUCUAGAGAGUGUAGAGGUUUCUUACGCAGUAAGGUUCGAAUUUAAAGCCACCAACAACCAGGCGGAGUAUGAAGCCUUCAUUGUAGGGUUGAAGCUAACACUACCACUGUGAGCAAAAAAAGUAAAGAUUUGAACAGAUUCCCAACUAGUGGCUAAUCACAUCAACGAAAGCUUCCAAACAAAUGAUGAAAAGAUGGAGCAGUAUCUUAAAUGUUCCAAGCGGACUAUGACUAAUUUCAAAGUAGUGAAAGUUGAGCAAAUACCGAGGGCUGAAAACUUUCGAGCAGAUAUCUUGGCAAUAAUGGUGGCAACUUCAGAUAAGAAGAUACCCCAGUCAGUUCAUGUGGAAGUCAAUGCUUUUAAAAGAUCAGAAGUGAUAUGUUUAAAGACCGGAACGUCAUAGAUCAUUUCAAUAACCUCAUAUAUCUGAUAUGGGACUUUGCCUAGAGAUAAAAGACAAGCAAGGAAGCUUAAGUGUCAAGCGAAUAGAUAUACCUUGAUCGAUGGGGUGUUGAACCAACGAGGAUAUACCUUGUCUCUUCUAUGACGUCUUACUAAUGAGGAAAUAGAUUAUGUUCUAAGGGAAAUACACGAGGGGAUUUGUGGAAACCACUCUGGUAUGAGGUCUUUGGCUUUCAAUGCAUUAAGACAAGAGUAUUUUUUGCCAACAAUGCAUCAGGACGCGCAAGAGAAAACUAGAAGUUGUAAGAACUGUCAAAGUUUUGCGAAUGUUCCUACUCAACCGCUAGAAAAUCUUGCUUCAAUGACUUUGCUGUGGCCAUUUGCUCAAUAGAGAGUAGACCUCAUUGGACCAUUGCCAAAAAAUCGAGGGCGCUGCGUAUGCUAUUGUCACAGUAGAUUACUUCACGAAGUAGGUUGAAGUUAAAGUUUUGAGCAGCAUCACUGAGAAGAAAACAACUGAUUUUAUUUGGAGAAAUAUUGUGUGCAGAUAUAGGAUCACCUCCACUCUCAUUACGGAUAAUGGCAAACAGUUUGCUAACUACAGCUUCAGGGAAUUUUGCAAGAACUUAAUAACUGAGCUGAAAUUUUGCUCACUAGCUCAUCCGCAGACAAACAGACAAGUAGAGGCUGCGAACAAAACUAUAAAGAAGCUGUUGAAAACCAGACUUGGCGAAAAGAAAGGAAUUUGGGUUGAUGAACUACCUGGUGUGCUUUGGCCCUACAGAACCACUCACAAGACCGCCAUAGGAGAAAACCCCUUUGCAUUGGCUUUUGAGCAUGAGGCCGUUGUUCCAGUAGAGAUUGGGAUGGGCACACACCGUACAGAAUAUUUCGAUGAAGAGAAAAAUAAAGAGUAGAUGAGUUUGAACAUAGAUCUACUAACAGAGAAAAUAGAGUUAGCCUCGAGGAGAGCAGCAGAGUAUUAGCGGAGGGUUACUCAUUAUUACAACCAAAAUGUUAGGAUACGACAAUUCAAGACAAGUGCUUCGGUACUCAGGAGGGUAAACCAGAGCACGAGAGAUCCAAACCAUGAUGUAUUUGGUCUUAAUUGGGAGGGGUCAUACAGAGUUUUACGAGCAACAGGACCAGUGGCAUACAAGUUAGCUCAUGUGGAUAGUCAAGAGAUCAAGAAAUCUUGGAAUGUUAAGCACCUAAGGAAGUAUUUUCAGUAAGCCAUUUUGUAAGAAUCUCAUUAGCAAUUUAAAUUAUUUGUAAUUUGUUUCUUGUGAAAAAAAAAUUAUGAGGAAAUAAUAUUUCUUAAACCAUUCUCUCAAUUCACAAUAAGAAAUUGCUAAAUUAAAAGGUUCAAAGUCUCUAAACCCAUGAUCUGAGAUAAGAAUCAAAGACUACUUGCAGUGUUCGAGCAGACAUCAUAAAAAUAGCAUGAUAGACACAAGGCCUAAAGUGUUAAAGCCUGCUCGAGGCGAGGUAAAGGUCAGAAGUCUUUUCGCGUAAGCUCGAUCGACCACAGUCUAGCAAGUACCUAAUUUAAAUAAAAAUAAGUGUUGUGAGGAGACCGAGGGUCUUAAAGCUUAUACAAAGCAAGACAGGUCAAAGCUUGCUCAAACGAACCCAACUAGUUAGCUUGAUCAGGUAAAAAUCGAGCAGACAAAUUUAUGUGUAAAAAAUAUUAUCUAAGUAAAAACCCGGCCCUAGGGCCUAUUCGAGAUGGAUCAAAGGCAAAAAUUGUCAGAAGCAAUGUUUUAACGAAUAAAAAUUUGAAAUGGGCAAUAAUUUAUUUAAUAAAAUGGUAAAUAAAACAAAAGCCUUUCGACGGGAGUCUAUUGUUGAAGGUACAAUCAAAACAAACUUUAUGGAGCUUUCGCAGGAAGAUCUGCUUUUGCCCCAUGGGGUUUCUCAGCACCAGAUGGGGCUGUGUCAAUACUAAUCUGAGGAGGAGCUACAUCAGUAGUGGACUGAAGAAGAGCCACAUCAAUAAUGGUCUGAGGAAGAGGCUUUGUCUCUCCACUUCCCAUAUUCUGCUCAUACAUAUAAACGCUAACACCAGCUUCAAGUUUGCUCAUAUCCAACUCCGGAUAUUCCUUCUUUAGAAAGAACAUAAUACAAUCAUAGCAAAAUGAUAGCCCUGAGUUAUACUCAUCGAUAUUUUGUUUUUCCAAGGAAUCAAUUAUGCUUUGAAGGCGGCGUGUUUCUGCUUCAAGAUGUUGCUCGAAAGUAACUGAAACAUAAAAAGCAUAUCAGAAAAACAGCAAAAAUUAAGGGAGAUAUAAUGGAUAGCGAGUAAUCUGGAGUGCAAAAGUGAAAAGGAACGCAAAUUUCUCCUCUAGAUGUAGAAUUUACUUGACCCCAAUUACCCCUAGCAAAGAAAAACUUGUUCUUCAAGUUACCCCCUAAAGUAGGGAGAUCAACAAUGGGUUUUCUUUGCUUUGAGCUGCUUAUGAAGUAGUACUAGCCAGCAUCUUUUGGGUUGCUCCUCAGUAAGUACAGAUUCUUUAUUUCUUCCACAGAGGGCUCACCCAUUUUGCACCUCUGAUAAAGAACAUACAACCCAGAGAGAACACUUCAUCUAUUGAGGUUAAGUUGACUAGGAGACAUGUUUAAUCUUUCCAAUAUCUUGGCAAAAUAAGGCUGGAAAGGUAAUCUAACCCCGAGUUUGAAACAUUCUAAGUAAAUGGUGACAUAUCCCUUUGGAGUUCAACUAAGGGUAUUAAAUUUACUAGGUAUCCUUAGUUCAACAUCAUCUGGAAUGCCGUAUACUGCUCUAAGGCUUUCCAAUUCCUCUUGGGUGGUCUCGCAAUUCAUAAAGUCAAUAGGAUAAGACUCAGCUUCAACCCUGCAACUAGUUUUGGCUUUCUUUGCCGGCCAAGAUUCCUCAGAGAAACUCCCUUCACUAGCCUCAUCCUCACCAACACUUAAGUGUUGUACUAGUACCGAGAUUUUCACCAAAACUAGUUUCUUCCCUAUCAACCCUUUCAUACGGACUAUCUUUCAUAAAUGAAGAAGAGAUUUCUGGGGACAUUUUCUUAGGAAUCCCUCUAAACCUAGAUAAACCAGACUCUUCUAUGGGAGUUUAUAGAUUAGGGUUUUGUCUCCUAGACCGAUCAAGCAAUGCACUCAGUUCCUCUCCACUAUCAAGGCUUAUUGUCGUGUGAUUUCCUUUAGGCAUUGUAACAAAAAGAACCAAAAACUCAAACAAAAGGGAAAAACAGUGACACACAAAAUAACCAAGUGAGAUUAGGGCAAUGAGUUUGGGAAAGAAUACCUGGAAAUAAGAUGUUUCGUGUUUGUUGUUCAAUGUUUCAUGUAAUAAUUUUUCAAAUACCCUGAAAUUUUUCUCUUUUGCUCCGGUUUCAUGUUUACGUUCCGAGUUUCAUGUUUACUGUUUUACGUUUCAUGUUUGAUGUUGUGUGUUCAAUGUUACCGAGGUACUCAUAUUUUAUGUUCGCGGUUGAAUAUUUUAAGUAACGUAUUUCAUAUUUAUUGUUCAAUGUUUUAUGUAAUAAUUUUUAAAUACCUUAAAAUUUUUUAUUUUGCCCCCGUUUCAUGUUUAUGGUUCAUGUUUUAUGUUUCAAGUUCGGAAUUUCAUAUUUGAUGUUUAUGUUCAUUGUUACGGAGGUACUCAUUGUUACAUAUUUUAAGUAAUGUGUUUUAAAUUUACUAUUCAAUGUUUUAGAUAAUUAUUUUUCAAACACCCGAAAAUUUUUAAUCCACCAUUUUGUAAAGUGACUUUAACAUAAGCAUUAGAAGAAUAUUAAGGGAUUUAACAACACUCAUUGUACGAAUACUAUUUAUUUAGUCUUAAAUCUAACCGUUUCACUUGAAUUUCGUGCACCGAUUUUAAUCUUUCAAUGGUCAUACCUUAGACUACAAGUGUUCGUUUUAGACAUUCAAUAAUAUUAUUUUGUUAACAUUUUUCUUCUAAUUUUUUAUAAAUAUAAUCACUUUCGAAGUAUUUGUAUGAUGAAUAAAUGUAACCAACAAAAUAAUAAUAUUCCAAUCCAAAUUUGAUUUUAAGUGUUUUAAAUCUUUUGUUUGGUUGGAGAACUAUCAAAGCCUCUUAGUGUGUUAUAUUUAAUUUUAAUCUUUGAAAUAUAGCACUCGCUUUUUAUUAAAGAAAAGUAUGAUUGAAUAUAUAAAUAUUUAGUUUUUGGUUGUUAAUUAUUAUAUCAAUAAUCCUAAUUGUUUUAAUUUUUUGUAAUUAUUUUUGAAAAUCUAGUUAAGCAAUGUAUGCCUUCAAUUUGUUGAUUAAGGCUUGAAAAAGUAGUAAACCCAAUGAAUGACUUCCAACUAAGUUGUAGUGGAAAUUGAAAUUUUUCACAUUUGAGUGAAAUUUAUGAAAGUGAACCAUUAAAGUGAAGAAAUAAGUCUGCUAAAGCAAAAUAUGACUUAACUAUUAAGUUUGAUUAAAAAAAAAACUAAAAAUGAGUAAAAUAUUAAUAGUUGCAAUAAGUGGCCUCACAAACAAAUUCGGAAGAGCUCUUAUGUUCUACUGGCACUUUUUAUAGCCAAAAUCUCCACUAUAAAUAACCUUGCAACCAUUUUUAAUUCUAUUAAUUCCCACACAAAUUUAUAGGCUUAUUUUCCCAUCCGCUAAAUCAAUUUAAUCAAUUUAUUUUUUUUAGUAAUUAUAGGAAACACAAUUUAAUGAAAAUAAAUCAAAUUAACUAUUCCUAUAUCAAACAUAAUAGUUUCUACAUAUUAUAAAAAUCCACCAAAAUCUAGUACAUUACACUAAGUGCAUCAUACAAUCUUAUUACAAGUAUCAUCUCCGGAAAAAAGUAGAUUGAUAUAUUGCAUAAAUUUACGGCAAAUAAAAAGAGGCAGAAAGGUAAGUAGUUUUAAAGUAAAAGCUCAGCACAACUUAUUAACAACGUAUUUAUCUUCUUCAGAGGCACUAAGAAAUUCAUCCACUGCCCAAGUUUUUCCAACUGUCGUCAUGGCAACACCAUCCAUGCUUAUAAAAACAGCAGCAAGUUUUGCAAUAGUUAUCCAGUCCUGUCCAAGGAGAGCUCCAAAGAAAAGCACAAAUAGAGAAAUGAAUUUGCUGAGUUAUUGGAAACCUUUACCCCUGGAGAAAACAGAGCAAUUUUCCAUUUAAUGAUUGUAUUCAACUGUUCAUUAGAUACUUAAAUCAUCAUAAUCGCCAACAACAACCUAUGCACCACAAAAUUAACAACACACACCAAAUUUGUGCUUUUUGGAUAUGCCACAACAACCUAUGCGCCACAAAAUUAACAACACACACCAAAUUAACUGCAAAUAAAAGCCAAAUCAUUGACCCCUUUUUUUUUCCAAAAAAAAGGAGUCGCAUAAAGGCAGGAAAAUAAUUUUAAAUGAAUUUAACAUAGCAACUACUUUCAUUACUGGGAUCAAGAGAAAAUAAAAGCUGUCAAUCUAAAAAUUAGAAAUUUUAAUUAGUUUUUCCUGAAAAUCAAAAUCUAAAACAACAGAAAACUUUUUUUUUUCUUAUCUUCACUUUCUCAGCAACCAAACAAACUUGUACUCAUCAUCAAAACCAACAUAAACCCUAAAAACAAAAAACAUUAUUUUCUUAAAAUUUCCUCACUUUUCUCACAAACCAAACAAAACCCAUCACAGUACUUACGGGAAACAAAAUUUUAUAAACUGUUGCAUGUAUUCCUGAAGGGGCUGAGGGCGCUGUGCUUGUGCCGCCGUUGAUCAUUGUCAACGAAGAAGAUCAGCCCGUCCUUCUGCCUUCGUUGAUCGUUGCCGACGGUGGAGAUCAGCCCGUCCUUGUGCCGCCGUUGAUCGUUGCCUAGGAACUCCUUCAGCCGUCGCCGUUGAUGGCCGUGGUGAGGCGUGUGGUGAGGGAGUGGUGAGGCGUUUGGCGUGUGUGAGGUAAGUGAAUGAGUGGUGGGGUUUUUUUUUUUGUUUAUUUCAAUUUUAUAGGUUUGUUCUUUCAAAUUUUUUUAAUCAUUUAAUAAUUAAACAAAUCUCAGCCAUUGGAUCCACUCUAUCUGCUGUACCGUACAUCCGCCUUGGCCGUACAGCAGAAAAAAUAAACCAAUAGAGUACAAAAUCUCAUGACACAAUCCAAUUUCUCAGCAAGCAAUCACAAUUUAGCUAAAAAUCAACCCCUUAAUAAGAAAUUUAAUUUUGAAAACAAAAAGCUUUUAAUCAAAACCUCUAUUUAAUACAUAUGUAAGACAUAAUUGAAAUACAUAAAGAAGAAUCCUCGAGAAGAUAUGAAGAGAGAUUACCUUCCCUUUUAAACUAUUAAGCCGCCAUUGUUAACUUGUUAUAUAGGCACCCAAAAAAUCUCAAAUCUGCAAUAUAAAACAAUGAAAAUGUCAUUAUCUUAAGGGACAUGCAAUACUUGAGCUUGAAAUAGGUCUGAGAAUUUUAAUAGACAUUUUAUCGAACAGCUAACAUGCAUGUUGUAAUAUGCUAUUUCUAAAUCAAAGCGUGUAUUAGAUAAGGAUAUUUUACCUUAAAAUUUUAUAUCACAAAAAUAUCCUCAUAUAUAAUUACAAAACCAUCCUCUUUUAAUUUCUUAUCUCUCAUGUAUGUGCUUUGUGUAUAUAUUUCUCAUUAAAUUGAUUUUGGUUAAGGUAGAAGAGUGCUAUUCCAUGAAAUUAUAUAAUUUAUUAAUAGCUAAUUCAAUUGUAGAUGCUAUCGAAAUUAAAAAUGGUCUCUUGGUUACCAUAAGAAAAUUGAUUUUUCCCAGAAAGCAAUUAUGAACUACCAUUAAUUCCUUUCCGGUCCAAAAUAUUUGCAGGUGAACCAAUACUUUUCAAGGUGCCAGUUUCAUAUGCUAAAAAUUUUUGCAAUCGAUCAACUCAUUAACCUGCUGUACCGUACAUCCGCCUUGGCCGUACAGCAGUCAAUAUUAACCUAAAUCUAUUCCCUUGAAACUAUGAAAAUUACUUUACAUCAAAAUCAAAAUGGCAAAAACAGUUCAGGACUUUAAACACACUAUUCCUAGUUCCCAUUCCAAUAUACAUAUUACUUAUAAACAAUAAAAAGUUCCCAUUAAAAAAUGUUAUUAUAAUUUUACUCAAAUCAUCAUAUGCAGCUCAUGCAAAGAAAGAUGGCAAAAUUGAGGAAAUAAAAAGGUUUUGUGGAAACCAACAAACAAAACUAAAGAAUCAAAUAAAAAGGGGAAAAAAACGAUAAAUGAUUCCCAAAUUAAUAAUUUAGUUCACAUCUCUAAUUGAAAGCAAGGAACAAAGAAUUAUACAAGAAUCAUUGAUACCAAGUUUACUAGAUAACAAGACAAUAUAUCAUAUACACUGCUGCUUCAGUUUCCAGAAAUAAAGGAAAAUUCUGAUUACCAGUCAUGUUUAACUUUAGCUUGGUCACAGCAGUAAGAGCACAACCAAAAUCAUUAGAACAAGGGACAUAUAAACUGGCAAAAGAAAUGUCUGAUCCAGAAGAAACGUUGAAACCAAAACACUGAAAUUGCAACCUUGGCCAUACUCACUGCAGCAGCCACAUGCCUAAUUGCAUAUGCCACAACAACCUAUGCGCCACAAAAUUAACAACACACACCAAAUUAACUGCAAAUAAAAGCCAAAUCAUUGACCCCUUUUUUUUUCCAAAAAAAAGGAGUCGCAUAAAGGCAGGAAAAUAAUUUUAAAUGAAUUUAACAUAGCAACUACUUUCAUUACUGGGAUCAAGAGAAAAUAAAAGCUGUCAAUCUAAAAAUUAGAAAUUUUAAUUAGUUUUUCCUGAAAAUCAAAAUCUAAAACAACAGAAAACUUUUUUUUUUCUUAUCUUCACUUUCUCAGCAACCAAACAAACUUGUACUCAUCAUCAAAACCAACAUAAACCCUAAAAACAAAAAACAUUAUUUUCUUAAAAUUUCCUCACUUUUCUCACAAACCAAACAAAACCCAUCACAGUACUUACGGGAAACAAAAUUUCAUAAACUGUUGCAUGUAUUCCUGAAGGGGCUGAGGGCGCUGUGCUUGUGCCGCCGUUGAUCAUUGUCAACGAAGAAGAUCAGCUCGUCCUUCUACCUUUGUUGAUCGUUGCCGACGGUGGAGAUCAGCCCGUCCUUGUGCCGCUGUUGAUCAUUGCCUAGGAACUCCUUCAGCCGUCGCCGUUGAUGGCCGUGGUGAGGCGUGUGGUGAGGGAGUGGUGAGGCGUUUGGCGUGUGUGAGGUAAGUGAGUGAGUGGUGGGGUUUUUUUUUUUGUUUAUUUCAAUUUUAUAAGUUUGUUCUUUCAAAGUUUUUUAAUCAUUUAAUAAUUAAACAAAUCUCAGCUAUUGGAUCCACUCUAUUCAAUCCAACGGUAAUUUUUUAUUUACUGUAGCUAUCCCCUUUAACGGGUUGCCUUAUUUUUUUCUGCUUUUAUUCAUUUUUUCUCUCUUUUUUUUUUAAUUAAAACUACAACCCUUGGAUUCAAACAAGCUGAAUCCAACGGCUCAAAGGCAGCCCCUGCACCAUACAGAGAUUUUAUGCCCUGCAUGGUAGCCGUGUCC
rnacentral:lncRNA from 1 species